rnacentral:lncRNA from 1 species
AUGAAUACUAAUUCAUGGGUUGCCAUAGACACGAGUGCUUUUCCUGAUCGACUCGUUUUUCUGAAUAUUUUCUUUUACUAGCUACUGCAGACAAUGGAGGUUUAAAGGUUAAGGAACAGUUUUAAGUGCAGCAUGCAUAUACAACUAGACCUAUAGUAUUUCACCAAGAACAAGAAAAAGUGGAUUUUAAAUGUUUUAAGUAAUAAUGCAUUCUAAAACACCCAGCACUCAAAGACAUGAAAGUUACUUUUGUACAAUAUACUAUGUAAAAAUUAUUUUUAGAACAUGUUUACAUCCUGUGUGUAUCAUUCUGUCUUCAGCCCCCCCUUCUCCCAGUGCUGUGUUCGUUAAGGUGAGUGAGGAGGUGGUUCUUCCCUGCUUUGGUCGUGUGGACUGGUUUAAAUCAGAAGCUGAGCUCGUCCAGUGGUUCAGAGGAGAUCAGCUGGUUCUGCAGUGGGAGAAGGGUUCUCUGUAUGUGGAUCAUCUGUUUACAGACAGAGUGUCACUGUCUAAAGAUAGAAUCCUGAAAGAUGACCUCUCUCUGGUUCUGAAGAACACCAUCCACGAAGACCAGGGCCUUUAUCACUGCUCAUUUGUGAAAAACCAAACCAUCACACCUGCUAUACAGACUAAUCUCACUGUGACAGACCACCAGACUCAUCUGAAGGUGGGGGCGGGUUCCUCAGUGCUCCUUCCCCUCCAUACAGCAUCUGCAGUGAAAGUGUGGUUCCUGCCUGAUGGAGGGAACGGUACUGUAAGUGUGUGUGAGGUGGAGGAAGACCAGCUGAAGUGUGAAGUUUCUUACACAGGCCGAACGGUUCUACGUAAACCCUCCCUGAAGCUGGAGAUCCGCUCCGUGGUGUAUUCUGGAACCUUCUCAGUGAUGGAGAGAGAAAGCCAUCAUACUGUUAAUGUCCUUUUCUUACAGGUGUUCCCUGCAGGUACAUAUUCCACUUCACCUGUAGUGUUUAGCCAGUGUGACUUUCUCUUUUUUUCACUCAUCUAACACUGUUUUCUUCUGAUCUCCAGGUGACCCUGUGGUAAAUCCAAAAACAGUGGCGAUAACAUCAGUACUGGUAUUUCUGGCAGUUUGCCUGGGGAUAUGUGUGGCCAUUGUUGGGAUCAAAAAGAAGGGGUGGUAUAGACGGUAUAGACGGUAUAGACGGAGGCGGAGACGUCGCACUGUGGAGCGGGCAGAAGAAGCCCUUCACCAGAAGCACACUGAUACCACCAGCACUGAGGUGUCAAUCAGUAAAAAUGAACAGUCUGUCGAGAGCAUCAUAUAAACAACCAAUAGUCUAGUGCCUAUUUCUUUAUACACUGCUCUGAUUCUGUCUAAACUGCAGUUCCUGGAGUGGAGGAAUGUAAAUAUUGUAGAAUGAUUAACAAGAAUAGUUCCUUUUUACUCUUUUAUGUAGUCGUGUAGUUCUGUGUCAUUGUUGGUUUUUGUGGAUCUUUACUUUGUAAAGGAAAAAUCUUUUUUCAAAAAAAAGUUACUGUAGAUUAGAUGUCACAAGUUUUUGAUUCGUUUGACGCCCCUGCUGUAGAAACGUAAACUUUUAUUUCUGCUGUAAACUAAAGAUAAUCAGCUUUUUUUACAGUAAUACACCAUAGCAUUAGCAUCAGUGCGAGGGGAAGAUAUAUUAAGUGGAGAUACAGUUUAUGAAGCAAUACUGAACAGUCUGUGCGGUGUUCCUGGUAUGCAGUGGUCAGUACUCACAAAAAAUAUGUUCCAAGGAAGCACAAUCAGUAAACCAGCAACAGGGUCAUGGCUAAACCACCCAAGGCUAAGUGAUUUUUAUCAAGCCUCUGCCCGUCUCACAAGUUACGGGACUUGGAUUAAAGGAUCUGCUAUCUUUGUACCAUAUGCCAAUAUUUUUGUAUUAUUUAAUAUUAUUGUUUAUUUGUAUUAAAUAAAAUGUGAUUUUUAAAUUUUAUU